GUAUGAACAGAUAAUGCCAUCUUGGGUUUUCUUCCAAAAUCAUGCGAUUCGGAUCUGAUUGUGUAAUAAUAUUCGAAAUGAAUUGCUUCUACAGUGUUCAUCUGUGAUGAAAUAAAGCAUUUUGUCAGAAAUCAUUUCACCCCAUGGAUUGAUCCUCCCCUUGAUAAUGUUUAUUUGCAUUAUAAAAGGGCUGUCUGAUGCCGGCAUUAAAUAGAUUUCGGAUUCUAUCUGCCAGAAAUUGAAAUGUUGGUUUGCAUUAUCUGUGUUACAAUUAUGCCGUGAGGAUAUCCUGAGGAUGUGGCUUUCCUGUUUUUGUUCAUCAGAAUCGACAAGCCUCCAAACUUUCUAAGCCCCUGAUAUCAAGAGAUGUUAAGAUGUGUUCAGUUACUAUUGCUGACAAGAUUAUUACUGAUGCUAGAGAAAGUGCUAUAGAGGAAUGGAUGAUAAGGCUAUGAUACUCUCUGACAUUGUUGCAUCAGUAACCAUUACAGUGGCUUUCUUUCUUUCCCUAAUGUAUGCACCACAGUGCAAAUGGGGGAACUACAAUUUCCUUUCUUUCUUUCCCUAAUGUAAUUCUAGUUAUAUUUGCUUAAAAUCUGCUCUGCCUAAAGUUCAUCUUAUUUUUCUAGUUCGUGUUAUAAGGCCAAUUAUCAUUUUUCAAGUAUGCCAAGAUGAAAACACACCAACCUCAGAGGAAAAAAGGGUCCAGCUUUCAUACUGAUACUGCUGUUUCUUUCUUCUAUUCAAUCGUGAUUGCCUUCAAGGAUCUUGUUGCAGGUAGUUCCAGGGAUCAUAUCUAAUAAUGGUAGCACUUAAGAUUUGGGAACGACAGGGGUUAGUGAAGGAUGGCAAUUUCAAAUUCGCUGUUUAGGAUUCGGUAGCAGAAAAACCUAACUAGUCCCACACAGGACGGUACAUUUAGCAUUUAUGAGAGAUCAACUAACCAUGCCACAUGCUUACUCUUGAGUUGUUGAAGGCCUUAAAGGCGUACCAAUAAAAUUUUGAAUGUUUGUGUUAGGUAUCCAUAUUGCAAUAGGAAAAGUUACAAUAUAAACUAGUAAUUCAAGGUACUUGCACCCUCCUCUUGGAUCUCUCUCAAGUCCUAAUUUACUAACUGAAAUGCCUAACUCUCUCCUUCCUCACUUUAUUUAUAACCAAAUCACAUAACAGCCUCCCUAUCUAAAUACUAAUAUACCUUUAUAAUAUCCCUUUAAUUGCAUAUAGUGGCUUUUGUCUCUAGCUAUCAAACUUUUCUGGGAGCAAGAAUCUGGUUAGAGAAUUGAUUGGUGAGUAGUAAGUUCUCUAUACAAGACAUCCGAGGGCUGCUGGCUUGUAUAACUCGAAAUCGAGGUGGGAAAUUGCAGUAGCCACUCAAUGUGUUCUAAGUUUUUCUGUUGAUGUUUACUUCUAGGUUGAAGUCCUAAUUGCACAUGGAUGUCAAUAGGCCUCGGGCCUGAGAAAUGGGCUUGUCUUUUUAUCCCUUAUAAUUUUUUCUAAUGUACAUAUGCACUUUGUACGAGCUACCUGCUUUGGACCAAUAAAUGAUUUGGAAGUAGAUUCUGAAAAUACCAAGCUGAAAAGAUAGGAAAAAAAAACCUAUAGCAGACUAUUUUAGUGUAGAAGGAAAAGAAUCUGAAUUUCUGAGUUUUUUCCAAUUAAGAAAAGUUAGCUGAAGUUGGUAUGCUGACAUUGAUAGGUGGUUAUUGUAUGUAGUUGUGUUAGUUGUAAUGUACAGUCGGUCAAGAUCUUUGUCAAAGAGGUUUAAUCAAGCACUUAAAAGAAAAGGCCAAGGAAGAGGUAGUUUAUACUUUAUUGUGAACUGCUUGUUGGGGAAGACGUCAAGUAAGAAAACAGAUUAUAAUUGCUUGCAAGUUAUAGUUUUGUUUUCAUAGUCAAAUCUGUUUAUAAGACUAAUUGUGCUUAGCAUCUUUUUCAUUGUCCAGAGAUUGACAAAAGGGCUGAAUGGAUGACAUUGAAGAUGAGUCAAUAAUAGAUGAAGAAUCCAGGAAGUUGCCAUCAGAUAUCUUCAUAGAUAAUGCUAGAUUGAGGAAACCACUCUCUUCUCCAAUUACGUCAUGCUGUCAGAACAGAAUGAUUGGAUCCGAGAAAGUUGAUUGGGAGGUCAUUUCACGAGAUGCUCUUUCUUGUAAAUGAUGACAAUUCCACAGCAAAAAGAAAAAAGCUGAACAGUGAAACAUGACAAAUAGGAAAAAGAAGAUAAAAAAAAGAAAGGAUCAUGCAUAAAGCUUCAUGUUGGCAGAGCAAUUCUCCAAAGGAAAUUAAUGGAUUAUUACCUUAGGUUUGUUCCCCCACUAUGAUUGUGUUGUAUUAUACUGUAUAGGCUAAUAAAAGAUUAAACAAAACAUAUAAAUUUGUCUUUAGUAGCCUUCUUAUGAUGAUGAUGAUGAUGAUACAUAUAAUUUACAAUAAAACUCUCUACAUUUUGACGUUUUGAAUACCAUGUUUAAGUUCUUAAACCAUCUAAGAAUUAAAGGAAUCGAUCCCACAAGUAAACCAUGGCAUAUAAGGAAAGAGGAACAGUAGUGGGAAAAGGUACAAAAAGGAACAGAAGGAAAAACUAAGAAAAAAACACAAGAAAAGAAAGAAACGACACAAAUUGGAUCCUAUUCAUGUACAACAAAUGAGACAUCAUGGAUUUUUUUGAAUAUCAGAAUCUGAGAAUAGUUUGUUCAUUCAAGAUUUUGUUGAAAUAACAGCCUGGGGAAAGGACAAGAUAAUUUAGCACUAAAAAAUAGUACAAUGGACCCAACACUUUCAAUUCAUUGCUGCUCAAACUUUGGAUGCAGGAAUCAAAUCUCUCUCUCUCUCUCUCUCUCUCUCUCUCUCUCUCUCUUUGUCUCUGUCUCU